CUCACCUACGGGGGGCAGCAGUGGGGAAUAUUGCACAAUGGGGGAAACCCUGAUGCAGCAACGCCGCGUGAGUGAAGAAGGUUUUCGGAUUGUAAAGCUCUGUUAGCAGGGAAGAGGAAGGACGGUACCUGCAGAGGAAGCCACGGCUAACUACGUGCCAGCAGCCGCGGUAAUACGUAGGUGGCAAGCGUUGUUCGGAAUAACUGGGCGUAAAGGGAGCGUAGGCGGGGAUGCAAGUUGGGUGUCAAAACUACCGGCUCAACCGAUAGUCG
rnacentral:rRNA from 1 species